UACUCCUACGGGAGGCAGCAGUGGGGAAUAUUGCGCAAUGGGCGGAAGCCUGACGCAGCAACGCCGCGUGCGGGAUGACGGCCUUCGGGUUGUAAACCGCUUUCAGCAGGGACGAAGCUUUUUGUGACGGUACCUGCAGAAGAAGCACCGGCCAACUACGUGCCAGCAGCCGCGGUAAU
rnacentral:rRNA from 1 species